rfam:Homo sapiens chromosome 1, GRCh38 reference primary assembly.
GCUGGGCGCGGUGGCGGGCACCUGUAAUCCCAGCUACUCAGGAGGCUGAGGCAGGAGACUUGCUUGAACCCGGGAGGCGGAAUUUUCAGUGAGCCGAAAUCAAGCCACUGCACUCUAGCCUGGGUGACAGAGCAAGACUCUGCCUCAA